UUGAACGCUGGCGGCAUGCCUUACACAUGCAAGUCGAACGGUAACAGGUCUUCGGAUGCUGACGAGUGGCGAACGGGUGAGUAAUACAUCGGAACGUGCCCGAUCGUGGGGGAUAACGAGGCGAAAGCUUUGCUAAUACCGCAUACGAUCUACGGAUGAAAGCGGGGGAUCUUCGGACCUCGCGCGGACGGAGCGGCCGAUGGCAGAUUAGGUAGUUGGUGGGAUAAAAGCUUACCAAGCCGACGAUCUGUAGCUGGUCUGAGAGGAUGAUCAGCCACACUGGGACUGAGACACGGCCCAGACUCCUACGGGAGGCAGCAGUGGGGAAUUUUGGACAAUGGGCGAAAGCCUGAUCCAGCCAUGCCGCGUGCAGGAUGAAGGCCUUUGGGUUGUAAACUGCUUUUGUACGGAACGAAAAGCCUCUUUCUAAUAAAGAGGGGUCAUGACGGUACCGUAAGAAUAAGCACCGGCUAACUACGUG
rnacentral:rRNA from 1 species